AAGUCGUAACAAGGUUUUCGUAGGGUAAGUCAACUCGAGCUCUGUCACGACCUAGCUAACGUCUCCAGUGAACCUGCGGAAGGAUCAUUAUCGAGUUUGUCUCUUCGGAGCAUCUCCACCCUGUGCGAACUAUCAUCGUUGCUUUGGCGGGCCGCGGCCUCCGCCGCCGGUUUACUGGCGAGCGCCCGCCAGAGGCUUUACAUUCUUUUUACGUGGCGUCUGAGCAAAUAUAAAUGCGAAAAACUUUCAACAACGGAUCUCUUGGUUCUG
rnacentral:misc_RNA from 1 species